rnacentral:rRNA from 1 species
AGAUAAUAGAUACCCUGGUAGUCCACGCCCUAAACGAUGCCGACUGGUUGUUGGGGUUUGGACACUCUCAGUAAACGAAAGCUAAACGCGUGAAGUCGACCGCCUGGGGAGUACGGCCGCAAGGUUAAAACUCAAAGGAAUUGACGGGGACCCGCACAAGCGGUGGAUUAUGUGGAUUAAUUCGAUGCAACGCGAAAAACCUUACCUACCCUUGACAUGUCCGGAAGGCUGCUGAAAGGCGGCUGUGCCCGAAAGGGAACUGGAACACAGGUGCUGCAUGGCUGUCGUCAGCUCGUGUCGUGAGAUGUUGGGUUAAGUCCCGCAACGAGCGCAACCCUUGUCAUUAGUUGCUACCCGGCAAGGGAGCACUCUAAUGAGACUGCCGGUGACAAACCGGAGGAAGGUGGGGAUGACGUCAAGUCCUCAUGGCCCUUAU